rnacentral:rRNA from 1 species
ACUCCUACGGGAGGCAGCAGUAGGGAAUCUUCCACAAUGGGCGCAAGCCUGAUGGAGCAACACCGCGUGAGUGAAGAAGGGUUUCGGCUCGUAAAGCUCUGUUGUUAAAGAAGAACACGUAUGAGAGUAACUGUUCAUACGUUGACGGUAUUUAACCAGAAAGUCACGGCUAACUACGUGCCAGCAGCCGCGGUAAUACGUAGGUGGCAAGCGUUAUCCGGAUUUAUUGGGCGUAAAGAGAGUGCAGGCGGUUUUCUAAGUCUGAUGUGAAAGCCUUCGGCUUAACCGGAGAAGUGCAUCGGAAACUGGAUAACUUGAGUGCAGAAGAGGGUAGUGGAACUCCAUGUGUAGCGGUGGAAGUGCGUAGAUAUAUGGAAGAACACCAGU